rnacentral:lncRNA from 1 species
GAGCCGCAGCCCUUCUGCUGAUGCGCGCGCGCUGGCGCCUUUUUAAGGCAACUGGCAGAGUGGCGGCUUCGCCAGUGCUCAGGAGCUUCCCCCGCCCCUGAGCGGUAGAGUCCUGGCCGGCCUUGGAAGCCCCCCGGAGCCAUCGCCCCACCCCAUGCCCAUCUUAAUGCCCUCCACUAUUGUGGGAGACAUUUAACCUUGGAGAGAGGAGGUCUUGCCCUUAACCCCUCGCCCCCCGCCCCCAACAGAGGAGACUGUCUCAUAGAAACCUUGGAAGCAAACAAGAUGCCAGGCCUAUCCGUGCUUGGAGAUACUACUACGGACAAGGCCACAGAGAGACAACGCCAGGUGAGGACCUCAAGGCCCUCGGGCCUCCCUUCAGCAUCCUGAUUAAGCCUGGGGCUUAGUCUAAAGUAGAUUGGGAUCUCAGGAAAACUCAACUCUCUCAUUAAACUGAAAGGGAAACUGAGGCACAGAGAAGAGUAAUGAUUGGCUAGAGUCCCAUGGCUAAUUCCUGGAGGAAUAGGCCUGAGACCAGGGAGCCUGGCUUCCUGGCCUGGAAUCAGUCACCUGUGACUACAGAUAAUACUGUGUUCAUCUUUGUCCCUUGUCCUUCACCCAGCCAAGGGCGAGGCAAUUCCAUCUUGGUACCAGCUGUGCUAUCUUUUCUUCCCAGCAACAUCCAGAUCUUAGGUGGGUUCUCUGGACCAAUGGCUAUCCUGGACAAACUUCUGGACCCCAUGGACUUCAUGACCAGACAACCAGGUUGCUGCUUACAAGCGUCUGCAUCCAUCGAAGGCUUCUUGCAGCCCACCAGCUCUCUGAAACUUUCUGGAGUCAAACCUCCCCUAGACUGUCUGCAAGUGCCACUUGGCUUCUGGAUGGGAAUGUGGCCCUGCUGGACACUCCCCAGAGCCAGGUGGACCCAGCCCCUUGGACCCUCUGCCCAGUCCUGAUGAUACCCUGACAGAGGACAUGACAUACUUGGCCAUUCUGAAGGAGAUGUGCAAUUUCCAGACAUCUGCAGGUCUCCACUCUAGACCAGGGUUAGGGGCUCAGAGUGGAUCUGAUCUAGAUCAACAUUUGUGGUUCUGGGUGUAGCUCUCUGGAGCUUGAAUGGUGUUUCCAAUGGGCGCCCAUUGCCAGGGCCACACCUUCAAUGCACAAAGGGAAAACUAAGGCAGUCUUCAAAGAGACAUCAUUUGCCGAGGUCACAAGGCAAGACAAUAUAUUUGUUGCUAAGGUUAGAACCCAGAACUCUGCCUCCUGGACUCUUUUGAGUCCAGCUUUUGAAAAAUACUUAGGCUCACUGCGCUGUGUGUGAAUCAAAGACCCGUUUCAGGAUCUACUUCUCGAGUGUGGACAUGGCCCUUGGGUUACCUUGCUCUGUGCCCUCAGUCACCCACUUCAGUUGGGCCUCUGAGAGUCUCUGAGGGACCAUGCUGAGAGGAUUGUCUUCCUUCCACAAGACUGAAGUGAAGGGAACCACAGAUGGUAGUUACUUCCGACACAGGCCGUGCAGACUGCUCUGAGGUCUUGUUCUGUGCAUUUCAGACUCCAUCAGAUUCCUCCAAUGGUGAGUCCCCUGGUGAAGCAGGCACAGACCUGUAAGAAUGACCCUGGCUAGGUUGGAUCUAAUGAGGGGGAAAGUCAGCGAACUGCUUGCUUUCCAUUGAGCUACAGCCUCGGAAAGCAUUCCUUUCCCCAAGUCCAGACAGUCCUGUUGUUCAGGACUCCCAGGUGACCCUGC